rnacentral:rRNA from 1 species
CCAGACUCCUACGGGAGGCAGCAGUGGGGAAUAUUGCACAAUGGGGGAGACCCUGAUGCAGCGACGCCGCGUGAGCGAUGAAGUAUUUCGGUAUGUAAAGCUCUAUCAGCAGGGAAGAAAAUGACGGUACCUGACUAAGAAGCCCCGGCUAACUACGUGCCAGCAGCCGCGGUAAUACGUAGGGGGCAAGCGUUAUCCGGAUUUACUGGGUGUAAAGGGAGCGUAGACGGUCCUGCAAGCCAGAUGUGAAAGCCCGGGGCUCAACCCCGGGACUGCAUUUGGAACUGUAAGGCUAGAGUGUCGGAGAGGCAGGUGGAAUUCCUGGUGUAGCGGUGAAAUGCGUAGAUAUCAGGAGGAACACCAGUGGCGAAGGCGGCUUGCUGGACGAUGACUGACGUUGAGGCUCGAAAGCGUGGGGAGCAAACAGGAUUAGAUACCCUGGUAUG